rnacentral:lncRNA from 1 species
ACGAGUUACUACAAAACGAUUGCAUCUUCUACUCAAUUAGAUGUGUUGUAUAUGUGAGAUGGUAAGGAAGCUACGUGUAAGGCUUGAGGUUGUGGAUUCGAAUCCGACCGCGCACGCGCAUAUUUUACUUGAAAAAUCGUGUGACUUGUGACUUGCGCGUGUGGGAGGCCUUCCGGGAAUUUCUAAUAUUUUUUUGCACAAAACCUAACCAGGACUAAUAAAGGUCGGGACAUUUAGGCGCAAUAAUUAGUUCGGGUUGGAAAAAUUGAGAUCUAUGAGAUUUUCUAAUCGAAACAUAAAUGCUCGUUUCGAGGUUUUCGUUUAAAACACUGUUGACGAGUAGCGAUCAAUGCCACUGGAACCGUUCGCGUCCAGUAGUUUAGUGCUAUCUUUUGC